CCCAGACUCCUACGGGAGGCAGCAGUGGGGAAUAUUGCACAAUGGGGGAAACCCUGAUGCAGCGACGCCGCGUGAGUGAAGAAGUAUUUCGGUAUGUAAAGCUCUCUCAGCAGGGAAGAAAAUGACGGUACCUGACUAAGAAGCCCCGGCUAACUACGUGCCAGCAGCCGCGGUAAUACGUAGGGGGCAAGCGUUAUCCGGAUUUACUGGGUGUAAAGGGAGCGUAGACGGUGAUGCAAGUCAGAAGUGAAAGCCCGGGGCUCAACUCCGGGACUGCUUUUGAAACUGUGUAACUGGAGUGCAGGAGAGGUAAGCGGAAUUCCUAGUGUAGCGGUGAAAUGCGUAGAUAUUAGGAGGAACACCAGUGGCGAAGGCGGCUUACUGGACUGUAACUGACGUUGAGGCUCGAAAGCGUGGGGAGCAAACAGGAUUAGAUACCCCGGUA
rnacentral:rRNA from 1 species